AGAAUCAACGCUGGCGGCGUGCCUCAGACAUGCAAGUCGAACGCGAAAGUUUCCUUCGGGAGACGAGUAGAGUGGCGCACGGGUGAGUAACACGUAGGUAAUCUACCUUCGGAUGGGGAAUAACAGUCGGAAACGGCUGCUAAUACCGCAUAAUGCAGCGGCACCUAAUGGUGACAGUUGUUAAAGCGGGGGAUCGAAAGACCUCGCGUCUGAAGAGGAGCCUGCGGCGGAUUAGCUAGUUGGUAAGGUAAUGGCUUACCAAGGCUACGAUCC
rnacentral:rRNA from 1 species